rnacentral:rRNA from 1 species
CCUACGGGUGGCAGCAGUGAGGAAUAUUGGUCAAUGGGCGCGAGCCUGAACCAGCCAAGUCGCGUGAAGGAUGACUGCCCUACGGGUUGUAAACUUCUUUUAUCAAGUAAUAAAGUGAGGCCCGUGUGCCUUUUUGUAUGUACUUUAUGAAUAAGGAUCGGCUAACUCCGUGCAAGCAGCCGCGGUAAUACGGAGGAUCCGAGCGUUAUCCGGAUUUAUUGGGUUUAAAGGGAGCGUAGAUGGGUUGUUAAGUCAGUUGUGAAAGUUUGCGGGUCAACCGUCAAAUUGCAAUUGAUACUGGCAAUCUUGAGUACAGUAGAGGUAGGCGGAAUGCGUGGUGUAGCGGUGAAAUGCUUAGAUAUCACGAAGAACUCCGAUUGCGAAGGCAGCUUACUAAACUGCCACUGACAUUGAUGCUCGAAAGUGUGGGUAUCAAACAGGAUUAGAUACCCCGGUAGUC